CCUAUUUAUUUGGCUAUACACAGUUCAUCGAUCAGUCAACUUGGCAAGUUAAAGCUCUUUCCUUCAAGUAUGCAGGCAUUGCUUAAUUUUAUCUAUGGUAUACUAUUAAUGGGACUACAUUUAAGUCAAGGUACAUGAAGUAUAAGCAUAUGUGUGGCAGCAAGACAUGAGCUUCCAAGGCAGUGAGUGGCCUGGAAGCAUCAGGAGACCCACACCCCUAAGACUUACCAGUAGGCACAUCAGUGGCACAGUCUGGGGAAAUCCCAACACUGCUCCCACCGCACUCUAUCAGUGCAUGCUGGCUCUGGCUGGCAGGGUGCAUGCCAGAAUAUAUCAUAAUGGUACACCCAGCCUCAAUGGAAAAGGCCCCAGAGGAAGGAGCAUGGUGGGGAAGAAGCUGGCUCCCAUUGCAACUUGCCCUGGCAAGUUGGAACAACUCCAGUUCCCACACAUAAAGACUUGGAGGAAUCUUUAAAAUGGAUGAGAGUCCCAGACCUGCUCCUGAGCCAGUCAAGCAUUGAAGAUUCCUCGCCGUCCUGUGGAAGGAAGGAAGACAACUAACUGUCUCCAGAGAAGCUCAUUUCAUCCUCUCGGAUUUGACCCGCUGGCUGCCUCGUCAUCACUUUGUCUCCAACUUUUCUCAGCUCCAGUUGUUACCCUGCCAUCACUGCCACCAUUACCACCAUUGAAAAAAACACAGACCACAUAGGAAGCCUGAUAAUGUUGCCCAGACAGAUAGAAUCUUCAGGUCCAUCAGUAGCUGCAUGGUGUCAUUGCAGGAGAUACCAGGACAGGCAUAUCAAGCUGUGGCUAAGUGUCAACCGGGUAAUGCAGCAGGAGGCAUUCACAGGAAAGUGAGAGAGAAGGGCAGCUCAUCUCAGAAACAUAGAAAACCAGUAUUGCUUAUGUUCAGUGAUAGUAGCUGACUAUUGCUGAUUAUUGAUCUUGUUUGUUAAUUUAAGCAUAAACAAUGUCUAUGGUUACUGUGUGCUGGUAAAAAAGGUCUUGUAAUGAAACUCGCUGUUUAUUGCCUGUGGUUGAAAAAGUUGAAGAGUACAGCUUCUUGAUAAUGGUUACCUUGGUUAAUAAAUCAGCAAAGGUUAAUUAUGUAAAAA